rnacentral:misc_RNA from 1 species
GGGACGCAGUCACAGUAACCACCCUUUGAGCCUCACCAGAAGGAAGCACAUAAUAAUAGCAAGAGACUGUAAGACGUACGAUACGAUACUCGAAAGCACCAUUUCAAUAACUGAGCUGAAAUUUACAACCACAGAGCCACAAGCAAACCUCAUAUACGCCCUGGACCAGUCUAUCGCAAUCCCCCAACCACACACCAUACUUCUCUCGUCAUGAUCGUUGUUGACCCAUAUUAUUGCCAGCACCAUAACAGAUUUUUUACCCGCGAGGAACUCGAAGAACACCAGAAGGCAUGCAAUGGACCAUACUUCAUGUCCAAGGAAUUCCGGCGGCCUCCGGAGGUUGGAACGCCUUAACUAACAGAUACAUAGCUGCCCAGACUGUCGCCGACACAUACUGCAGUACAGUACCUGUACUUGUAACAUAGUGCACGUCAUCAGUUUCUACUGCUGUUACCGUCUUAACAUAAAAAUAUAAUAGUUAUAAUCUA